rnacentral:rRNA from 1 species
GACAGAGGGUGCAAACGUUGCUCGGAAUUACUGGGCGUAAAGCGCGUGUAGGUGGACCAGCAAGUCAGGCGUGAAAUCCCUAGGCUCAACCUAGGAACUGCACCUGAAACUUCUGGUCUUGAGUGGUGGAGAGGAAAGCAGAAUUCCUGGUGUAGAGGUGAAAUUCGUAGAUAUCAAGGAGGAACACCGGUGGCGAAGGCGG